CUGAGGGCUGGCAUGCGGAUUCUCAUUCUCUUGCUAGGCCUCUUGGAUACGCUCUCCUUUUGAGCAGGAGGACAGGCUCUGAUAGACAACUGUUUGAUUUCGGAAUGGGAAACAAACUCCCAACUAAAAGGGCCUCUGGAAACUGUCAAUUAUUCUCCACUUCUCAGCUCUGAUUUUUCACUGCAGAGGAGCUUAGGGAAGGGCACCAUCCUAUCAGCCUGGCCUGCCAGAUUGAAGAACUGCCAUGCAGAAAGGUUCUGAUGUUCUCAGGCUCAUGUGGCAAGCGUAAAACUCAAAGCCUUGAAGUUUCUAGCCUGUUCCAGCCUUGAUCCAGGCCAUGUUUAUCCUGAUUCCAUCCUUUAAAACGAAUGCCUCACUCUUAAUAGCGCACGGCAGUUUGAACCACUAAUUUGGUCGAGUUGGAAACAGUGAAAUUUCAAUUUUAAUAAGCUGUGCAUAAUGAAGAGGAAUGUGGAAUUGGAGCCUUUCCAUCUGAAGCUAUUCAUAACAGGCACAAAGCUGAGUUAAUUAGGAAUAUGCUGAGAUGAAGGAAAUGAGGAGAGCUGCUCUUUUGGGGGCUGUGCUUCUCUCCCCAACCCCUCAACCCCAUUGCCAUGCUGCAGAUGGGGUGGUGUCUAAACAUCAGUGGCGAGUGCCUGCAUUACUCUGCUCGUUGCCUUCCAGAGAACUCAGCUUCUCCAAAUGCUGAGCUCUUUUCAGAAUGGGACCUGCCACCAGUAUUUGAAAGAUUUCUAGCCUAGCAGAACAGCAGCCACGUUAUCAAAGUUUGGUUGGCCAAAGGAAGUGUUCAGGACCUUUGGGAGUGAAAGAAUUUGCUAAAGAAGGAUCAGUGAAAAAAAGGAAUGAUGGGUGAAGAGCUGUGGAGAAGGAAGAGAAGAAACAGCACAAGGAAGGAAGAAUAUAAAAUCAGAUGUGGGAAUCCAGGGGAAAGUGCAAACGAAGCAAGAUUGAGAAAAUUCUCAAGUUUUUAUAAACAGUUCUCACACUCUGCCAGUUCCUUGGAGGUAGACUUUUUUGUUAACUUCCAACUACAGUAGUGAAAAAAAAAAAAAAACCCUCAAAUUUGCAAAAGCAGUCUGUGGAAUUUUCUUUACCCAGCUUUCCUGACUGUUAACUUUUUAGCACACUUAACUUUAUCAUUCGUUUAUUCUCUCUGUUUAAAAUUAAAAAUGUAAAUUUUAAAAAGUAAAA